GUUUUUGAACGCAGCAGCGGGGUGUCGUUCCCCUUUCUCAUUUCGAUAAGGCAGAGGAAGAGAGCUCCAGCGGUGAAGGAGGCGGAGGCGAUUGCUUCUGUUCAUGGCGAUUCCGAGCUCAUCCACCGCAGGAUUUGAUUUCUUCUCCUUCUUCUCUUGGUCCGCCGGCUGCCCUGGUACUAUCUCAAUGAGUAGACUGCGGAAAGUCUGUCGCAAGGAUGUUCCCCUACUUUCUUCACUCGAGAGCGCUGAUUCUUUGAAAGACCCUUAUGUGCCUAAUGAUUUUGCUGAUGAUGGUUCUAAUGGGUUGUUCUGGUGAUGAUGAAGAGUUUGAUAAAGCACUUUACAAUUUCUAUGUGAAUAAUAAAGUCAAGUACCUGAAGAGAAAAUUAUCAUCUGCUGGCAGAAGGAAUGUUGUAAGUCUUUUCUCUCUUCCGUUAAUCAUUGGGUCAUUUGUAUGGUACCUACACUGUAAAUUUACCCUAUAUGAACUGUAAUCUGAAUGCCCCUAUUACUGAGUGAUACUUAGUGUGAAAUUUGUAUGGUAGUUACAUUGUAAUCAUAUAGUCAUUGUGUAAUUUUGUAUGGUAAUUACACUGUAAUCCUACUCCUUUCUUACAGUGUAAAUUUACCCAUAUCUAUACUGUAAUUUGAAUGCCCUUUUUUAA